rnacentral:rRNA from 1 species
GAUGAACGCUGGCGGCGUGCCUAAUACAUGCAAGUCGAGCGAACAGACGCGGAGCUUGCUCCUCUGACGUUAGCCGCGGACGGGUGAGUAACACGUGGAUACCCUACCUAUAAGACUGGGAUAACUUCGGGAAACCGGAGCUAAUACCGGAUAAUAUAUUGAACCGCAUGGUUCAAUAGUGAAAGACGGUUUUGCUGUCACUUAUAGAUGGAUCCGCGCCGGAUUAGCUAGUUGGUAAGGUAACGGCUUACCAAGGCGACGAUGCGUAGUCGACCUGAGAGGGUGAUCGGCCACACUGGAACUGAGACACGGACCAGACUACUGAGGGAGGGAGCAGUAGGGAAUCGUGCGCAACGGGCGAAAGCCUGACGGAGCAACGCCGCGUGAGUGAUGAAGGUGUUCGGAUCGUAAAACCCGGUUAUUAGGGAAGAACAAAUUUGUAAGUAACUAUGCACGUCUUGACGGUACCUAAUCAGAAAGCAACGGCUAACUACGUG